rnacentral:rRNA from 1 species
GACGAACGCUGGCGGCGUGCCUAAUACAUGCAAGUAGAACGCUGAAGGAGGAGCUUGCUUCUCUGGAUGAGUUGCGAACGGGUGAGUAACGCGUAGGUAACCUGCCUGGUAGCGGGGGAUAACUAUUGGAAACGAUAGCUAAUACCGCAUAAUAGCAGUUGUUGCAUGACAACUGUUUGAAAGGUGCAAUUGCACCACUACCAGAUGGACCUGCGUUGUAUUAGCUAGUUGGUGGGGUAACGGCUCACCAAGGCGACGAUACAUAGCCGACCUGAGAGGGUGAUCGGCCACACUGGGACUGAGACACGGCCCAGACUCCUACGGGAGGCAGCAGUAGGGAAUCGUCGGCAAUGGACGGAAGUCUGACCGAGCAACGCCGCGUGAGUGAAGAAGGUUUUCGGAUCGUAAAGCUCUGUUGUAAGAGAAGAACGAGUGUGAGAGUGGAAAGUUCACACUGUGACGGUAUCUUACCAGAAAGGGACGGCUAACUACGUG